GAUGAACGCUGGCGGCGUGCCUAAUACAUGCAAGUCGAGCGAACAGACGAGGAGCUUGCUCCUCUGACGUUAGCGGCGGACGGGUGAGUAACACGUGGAUAACCUACCUAUAAGACUGGGAUAACUUCGGGAAACCGGAGCUAAUACCGGAUAAUAUAUUGAACCGCAUGGUUCAAUAGUGAAAGACGGUUUUGCUGUCACUUAUAGAUGGAUCCGCGCCGCAUUAGCUAGUUGGUAAGGUAACGGCUUACCAAGGCGACGAUGCGUAGCCGACCUGAGAGGGUGAUCGGCCACACUGGAACUGAGACACGGUCCAGACUCCUACGGGAGGCAGCAGUAGGGAAUCUUCCGCAAUGGGCGAAAGCCUGACGGAGCAACGCCGCGUGAGUGAUGAAGGUCUUCGGAUCGUAAAACUCUGUUAUUAGGGAAGAACAAAUGUGUAAGUAACUAUGCACGUCUUGACGGUACCUAAGCAGAAAGCCACGACUAACUACGU
rnacentral:rRNA from 1 species